CCUACGGGGGGCAGCAGUGAGGAAUAUUGGUCAAUGGACGCAAGUCUGAACCAGCCAUGCCGCGUGCAGGAAGACGGCUCUAUGAGUUGUAAACUGCUUUUGUACGAGGGUAAACGCAGAUACGCGUAUCUGUCUGAAAGUAUUGUACGAAUAAGGAUCGGCUAACUCCGUGCCAGCAGCCGCGGUAAUACGGAGGAUUCAAGCGUUAUCCGGAUUUAUUGGGUUUAAAGGGUGCGUAGGCGGUCGGAUAAGUUAGAGGUGAAAUCCCGAGGCUCAACUUCGGAAUUGCCUCUGAUACUGUUCGGCGAGAGAGUAGUUGCGGUAGGCGGAAUGUAUGGUGUAGCGGUGAAAUGCUUAGAGAUCAUACAGAACACCGAUUGCGAAGGCAGCUUACCAAGCUACUUCUGACGUUGAGGCACGAAAGCGUGGGGAGCAAACAGGAUUAGAUACCCGAGUAGUC
rnacentral:rRNA from 1 species